rnacentral:rRNA from 1 species
CAGCCGCCGCGGGAAAACGAAGGGUGCAAGCGUUACUCGGAAUUACUGGGCGUAAAGCGUGCGCAGGUGGUGGUUUAAGUCCGUUGUGAAAGCCCUGGGCUCAACCUGGGAAUUGCAGUGGAUACUGGGUCACUAGAGUGUGGUAGAGGAUAGUGGAAUUUCCGGUGUAGCAGUGAAAUGCGUAGAGAUCGGAAGGAACAUCUGUGGCGAAGGCGACUAUCUGGGCCAACACUGACACUGAGGCACGAAAGCGUGGGGAGCAAACAGGAUUAGAUACCCCGGUAGUCCCUGUCUCUUAUAA